rnacentral:rRNA from 1 species
GAUGAACGCUAGCGGCAGGCUUAAUACAUGCAAGUCGUGGGGCAGCAUGAGUAGCAAUACUUGAUGGCGACCGGCAAACGGGUGCGGAACACGUACACAACCUUCCGAUAAGUGGGGAAUAGCCCAGAGAAAUUUGGAUUAAUACCCCGUAACAUAUAGAGUGGGCAUCUUCUUUAUAUUAUAGCUUCGGCGCUUAUUGAUGGGUGUGCGUCUGAUUAGGUAGUUGGCGGGGUAACGGCCCACCAAGCCUACGAUCAGUAGCUGAUGUGAGAGCAUGAUCAGCCACACGGGCACUGAGACACGGGCCCGACUCCUACGGGAGGCAGCAGUAAGGAAUAUUGGACAAUGGGCGAAAGCCGGAUCCAGCCAUGCCGCGUGAAGGAUUAAGGUCCUCUGGAUUGUAAACUUCUUUUAUUUGGGACGAAAAAAGGGAAUUCUUUCCCACUUGACGGUACCAAGUGAAUAAGCACCGGCUAACUCCGUGCCAGCCGCCGCGGUAA